rnacentral:rRNA from 1 species
AGAGUUUGAUCAUGGCUCAGGACGAACGCUGGCGGCGUGCUUAACACAUGCAAGUCGAGCGGAAAGGCCCUUUCGGGGGUACUCGAGCGGCGAACGGGUGAGUAACACGUGAGUAACCUGCCCUUCACUUUGGGAUAACCCUCGGAAACGGGGGCUAAUACCGGAUAUUCACUUUCUCUCGCAUGGGGGUUGGUGGAAAGUUUUUCGGUGGGGGAUGGGCUCGCGGCCUAUCAGCUUGUUGGUGGGGUAAUGGCCUACCAAGGCGACGACGGGUAGCCGGCCUGAGAGGGCGACCGGCCACACUGGGACUGAGACACGGCCCAGACUCCUACGGGAGGCAGCAGUGGGGAAUAUUGCACAAUGGGCGGAAGCCUGAUGCAGCGACGCCGCGUGAGGGAUGACGGCCUUCGGGUUGUAAACCUCUUUCAGCAGGGACGAAGCGGAAGUGACGGUACCUGCAGAAGAAGCGCCGGCCAACUACGUGCCAGCAGCCGCGGUA